rnacentral:rRNA from 1 species
UACAGAGGGGGCAAGCGUUGUUCGGAAUUACUGGGCGUAAAGGGCGCGUAGGCGGCCUGUUAAGUCGGACGUGAAAUCCCCGGGCUCAACCCGGGAACUGCGUCCGAUACUGGCAGGCUUGAAUCCGGGAGAGGGAUGUGGAAUUCCAGGUGUAGCGGUGAAAUGCGUAGAUAUCUGGAGGAACACCGGUGGCGAAGGCGGGUCUCUGGGCCGAUACUGACGCUGAGGAGCGAAAGCGUGGGGAGCGAACAGG